rnacentral:rRNA from 1 species
UACGUAGGGGGCAAGCGUUGUCCGGAAUCAUUGGGCGUAAAGCGCGCGUAGGCGGCCAGAUAAGUCCGGUGUGAAAGUCACAGGCUCAACCUGUGAAUGCCGCUGGAAACUGUCUGGCUUGAGUCCGGAAGGGGCGAGUGGAAUUCCUGGUGUAGCGGUGAAAUGCGCAGAUAUCAGGAGGAACACCAUGGCGAAGGCAGCUCGCUGGAACGGUACUGACGCUGAGGCGCGAAAGCGUGGGGAGCGAACAGG